UCUAAAUCUAUAACAAAGCCAGGUUCAUAACAGAAGUCUAAAUCUAUAACAAAUAGACACAGGUUCAUAACAGAAGUCUAAAUCUAUAACAAAUAGACACAGGUUCAUAACAGCAGUCUAAAUCUAUAACAAAGACAGGUUCAUAACAGCAGUCUAAAUCUAUAACAAAGACAGGUUCAUAACAGCAGUCUAAAUCUAUAACAAAGACAGGUUCAUAACAUAAGUCUAAAUCUAUAACAAAGACAGGUUCAUACCAGCAGUCUAUAACAAAUAGACACAUGUUCAUACCAGCAGUCUAUAACAAAUAGACACAGGUUCAUACCAGAAGUCUAAAACUAUAACAAAUAGACACAGGUUCAUAACAGAAGUCUAAAUCUAUAACAAAGACAGGUUCAUACCAGAAGUCUAAAUCUAUAACAAAGACAGGUUCAUACCAGAAGUCUAAAUCUAUAACAAAGACAGGUUCAUAACAGAAGUCUAAAUCUAUAACAAAGACAGGUUCAUAACAGCAGUCUAAAUCUAUAACAAAGACAGGUUCAUAACAGCAGUCUAAAUCUAUAACAAAUAGACACAGGUUCAUAACAGAAGUCUAAAUCUAUAACAAAGACAGGUUCAUACCAGAAGUCUAAAUCUAUAACAAAGACAGGUUCAUACCAGAAGUCUAAAUCUAUAACAAAGACAGGUUCAUACCAGAAGUCUAAAUCUAUAACAAAGACAGGUUCAUAACAGAAGUCUAAAUCUAUAACAAAUAGACACAGGUUCAUAACAGAAGUCUAAAUCUAUAACAAAGACAGGUUCAUACCAGAAGUCUAAAUCUAUAACAAAGACAGGUUCAUACCAGAAGUCUAAAUCUAUAACAAAGACAGGUUCAUAACAGAAGUCUAAAUCUAUAACAAAUAGACACAGGUUCAUAACAGAAGUCUAAAUCUAUAACAAAGACAGGUUCAUAACAGAAGUCUAAAUCUAUAACAAAGACAGGUUCAUAACAGCAGUCUAAAUCUAUAACAAAGGCAGGUUCAUAACAGAAGUCUAAAUCUAUAACAAAGACAGGUUCAUAACAGCAGUCUAAAUCUAUAACAAAGACAGGUUCAUAACAGCAGUCUAAAUCUAUAACAAAGACAGGUUCAUACCAGAAGUCUAAAUCUAUAACAAAGACAGGUUCAUAACAGAAGUCUAAAUCUAUAACAAAGACAGGUUCAUAACAGAAGUCUAAAUCUAUAACAAAGACAGGUUCAUAACAGCAGUCUAAAUCUAUAACAAAGACAGGUUCAUAACAGCAGUCUAAAUCUAUAACAAAGACAGGUUCAUAACAGCAGUCUAAAUCUAUAACAAAGACAGGUUCAUACCAGAAGUCUAAAUCUAUAACAAAGACAGGUUCAUAACAGAAGUCUAAAUCUAUAACAAAGACAGGUUCAUAACAGCAGUCUAAAUCUAUAACAAAGACAGGUUCAUAACAGAAACCACUACCUGCGGUAUGGUGUUAGACAUACCAUUUAGGUGAGGUAGAAAUCCUAAAUGGACUAUGACUAGUUACUGUAACCCAGUGAAUUCCUCUGAGGCAGACUCUCCAGAUGAGUCUGUGAGAGACUAGCACAGCAGGGCCUGGCGCGACUGGGACCGGCUCCUGGAAGAAGUCACACUCCAAAUACUGCCAGCCUUGCCAUGAAGACCCAGAAAACACUAUUCUGUAUGAAAACAUGAUAGGGAUGGAAAGUAUUUUACUGUAGUUUUCAGAUGUUCUGUCUAGUUUCCUUCAUGUUUUUUUCGAAGACAUUUUUUGUCCACUCUUGUUCCUAUCUGUAUGUAGGCCUUGUUCUCGUCCCUCAUUUAUGCACUACAGGUCAAAGUUUAAUUAAAGAUCCCUUUUCCCAGGAUGCACUGGGCUUCGAGGGCAGCUGUCAUGGGUAAUGGUGGAACCAAUUUGUCAUCUGGAGAGAGAAUGACAGUAAUCCUGCCAACAGAGAGAAAGAUGUCAGGAGAAUAAUGCACAUGGAGAUGGAGAAGAAAGGCUGGAGAGACAGUGACACCAUAGAGAAGAGAGAAAGAGAUAGGAGGAGGAAGAGAGAGAGAGAGACUGUAAUCCUGUCUAAUUCACUUAGUGAAGCGCUGAAGGGGCAAGACACUAAGAGGAUUGGGACAUUCUCUAAAUUAGAUCAGUAAAAAUAACUAAGUGCAAGGAGAGGUGAGAACGAGUGUGGACAUGUGGGCACAUGGACACAGGACAGGGGAACAGGACAGGACAGAACAGGGGGACAUGAAAGGACAUGGGAACAGGACGGGAGAGGGGGACUAAGGAUGAUAAUGAACAUCUUUACUGACAGACAUCAGAGAAUGUUGACCUAGUGCUCCUGUAUGAGACUUCUCUCCAAGUCAGAGAAGGAACCAGAAUACCCUAUUUAGUUCUACUUCAAUUGAACCCUAAUUCUAAGGCUGACCUACCACCCCCUUUCCCUCUCUCCUCCAACCCUGACUACGCCAGAAUCAGACUUCUCUCAUAAACAAAUCUAAUCCUGACAAUAAUCUCAGUCCAAGACAUGGACAAUAAUCUUGGAUCCAAACACUGACUAUUACUCUCGAUAAUAACUAGGUGUUAAACUUUAAGCCCCAGUAUUGACUUAGUAAAAUGAUAUAACAUGAUUGUCAGUCAAGUGUUAAUCCAGUGAUAGGCCUAACCAUAAUACUGAUCAUAUUACGACACUAAAUUCCACUGAGAAUACUGUAUUUACCCUUAAAACGAAUUAUGGAGUGAGUCAUUCCUGUUCCGAUUCUAUUUGACAUAAAAUCAUGACAAUAAUAAUAACAGAACAUUUUCAUAAAAACAAGAAUUACAAUAACUUUAUUUGUAUAGCACUACUUAAUACAAGUAACAAAGUGCUUCACGUCAUAAAACAAAAGUACUAACAAAGAAACAAAAACAAGAGGAAGGAGAAAUGAAAAAAAGAAGAUGGCUAAUUAAAAUCGCACUGUACAUUGAAACCAAACGUUAAAUUCAUCUUUAUGAAAGUGUAUCUUCACAGUGUCAAAAGAGGAUGGAAUGAACAGUAUUCUCAGUGAUAAUGAUAGAAUAUGAUUACAUUCAUACUGUAGUUCUAUUACUACGAUGUUGUCAGCCUUGUCAUAUCAAACAACCAAUAUCAGAAUUAGACACCAUUUAAAGAUUGAAAUGGACAUCCAUAACGUUGAUUGGUUGAUUGAAGAGAAGUACAGUAAAUAGCACAUAGAGCUCGACGGGGAUAGACAUUGCUCUCUCCAAUUGCUCUUAAAUACAAGUAAAACUAAAUGCAUGCUCUUCAACCGAUCGCUACCUGCACCUACCCGCCUGUCCAACAUCACUACUCUGGACGGCUCUGACUUAGAAUACGUGGACAACUACAAAUACUUAGGUGUCUGGUUUGACUGUAAACUCUCCUUCCAGACCCAUAUCAAACAUCUCCAAUCCAAAGUUAAAUAUAGAAUUGGCUUCCUAUUUCGCAACAAAGCAUCCUUCACUCAUGCUGCCAAACAUACCCUUGUAAAACUGACCAUCCUACCAAUCCUCGACUUUGGCGAUGUCAUUUACAAAAUAGCCUCCAAUACCCUACUCAACAAAUUGGAUGCAGUCUAUCACAGUGCAAUCCGUUUUGUCACCAAAGCCCCAUAUACUACCCACCUUUGCGACCUGUACGCUCUCGUUGGCUGGCCCUCGCUUCAUACUCGUCGCCAAACCCACUGGCUCCAUGUCAUCUACAAGACCCUGCUAGGUAAAGUCCCCCCUUAUCUCAGCUCGCUGGUCACCAUAGCAUCUCCCACCUGUAGCACACGCUCCAGCAGGUAUAUCUCUCUAGUCACCCCCAAAACCAAUUCUUUCUUUGGCCGCCUCUCCUUCCAGUUCUCCGCUGCCAUUGACUGGAACGAACUACAAAAAUCUCUGAAACUGGAAACACUUAUCUCCCUCACUAGCUUUAAGCACCAACUGUCAGAGCAGCUCACAGAUUACUGCACCUGUACAUAGCCCACCUAUAAUUUAGCCCAAACAACUACCUCUUUCCCAACUGUAUUUAAUUAAUUAAUUAAUUUUGCUCCUUUGCACCCCAUUAUUUUUAUUUCUACUUUGCACAUUCUUCCAUUGCAAAACUACCAUUCCAGUGUUUUACUUGCUAUAUUGUAUUUACUUUGCCACCAUGGCCUUUUUUGCCUUUACCUCCCUUCUCACCUCAUUUGCUCACAUUGUACAGUGCCUUGCGAAAGUAUUCGGCCCCCUUGAACUUUGCGACCUUUUGCCACAUUUCAGGUUUCAAACAUAAAGAUAUAAAACUGUAUUUUUUUGUGAAGAAUCAACAACAAGUGGGACACAAUCAUGAAGUGGAAUGGCAUUUAUUGGAUAUUUCAAACUUUUUUAACAAAUCAAAAACUGAAAAAUUGGCCGUGCAAAAUUAUUAAGCCCCCUUAAGUUAAUACUUUGUAGCGCCACCUUUUGCUGCGAUUACAGCUGUAAGUCGCUUGGGGUAUGUCUCUAUCAGUUUUGCACAUCGAGAGACUGAAAUGUUUUCCCAUUCCUCCUUGCAAAACAGCUCGAGCUCAGUGAGGUUGGAUGGAGAGCAUUUGUGAACAGCAGUUUUCAGUUCUUUCCACAGAUUCUCGAUUGGAUUCAGGUCUGGACUUUGACUUGGCCAUUCUAACACCUGGAUAUGUUUAUUUUUGAACCAUUCCAUUGUAGAUUUCACUUUAUUUUUUGGAUCAUUGUCUUGUUGGAAGACAAAUCUCCGUCCCAGUCUCAGGUCUUUUGCAGACUCCAUCAGGUUUUCUUCCAGAAUGGUCCUGUAUUUGGCUCCAUCCAUCUUCCCAUCAAUUUUAACCAUCUUCCCUGUCCCUGCUGAAGAAAAGCAGGCCCAAACCAUUAUGCUGCCACCACCAUGUUUGACAGUGGGGAUGGUGUGUUCAGGGUGAUGAGCUGUGUUGCUUUUACGCCAAACAUAACAUUUUGCAUUGUUGCCAAAAAGUUCAAUUUUGGUUUCAUCGGACCAGAGCACCUUCUUCCACAUGUUUGGUGUGUCUCCCAGGUGGCUUGUGGCAAACUUUAAACAACACUUUUUAUGAUAUCUUUAAGAAAUGGCUUUAUUCUUGCCACUUUUCCAUAAAGGCCAGAUUUGUGCAAUAUACGACUGAUUGUUGUCCUAUGGACAGAGUCUCCCACCUCAGCUGUAGAUCUCUGCAGUUCAUCCAGAGUGAUCAUGGGCCUCUUGGCUGCAUCUCUGAUCAGUCUUCUCCUUAUAUGAGCUGAAAGUUUAGAGGGACAGCCAGGUCUUGGUAGAUUUGCAGUGGUCUGAUACUCCUUCCAUUUCAAUAUUAUCGCUUGCACAGUGCUCCUUGGGAUGUUUAAAGCUUGGGAAAUCUUUUUGUAUCCAAAUCCGGCUUUAAACUUCUUCACAACAGUAUCUCGGACCUGCCUGGUGUGUUCCUUGUUCUUCAUGAUGCUCUCUGCGCUUUUAACGGACCUCUGAGACUAUCACAGUGCAGGUGCAUUUAUACGGAGACUUGAUUACACACAGGUGGAUUGUAUUUAUCAUCAUUAGUCAUUUAGGUCAACAUUGGAUCAUUCAGAGAUCCUCAAUGAACUUCUGGAGAGAGUUUGCUGCACUGAAAGUAAAGGGGCUGAAUAAUUUUGCACGCCCAAUUUUUCAGUUUUUGAUUUGUUAAACAUUUUUGAAAUAUCCAAUAAAUGUCGUUCCACUUCAUGAUUGUGUCCCACUUGUUGUUGAUUCUUCACAAAAAAAAUACAGUUUUAUAUCUUUAUGUUUAAAGCCUGAAAUGUGGCAAAAGGUCGCAAAGUUCAAGGGGACCGAAUACUUUCGCAAGGCACUGUAUAUAGACUUGUUUAUACUGUAUUAUUGACUGUAUGUUUGUUUUACUCCAUGUGUAACUCUGUGUCGUUGUAUCUGUCGAACUGCUUUGGUUUAAGUCGCAAUUGUAAAUGAGAACUUGUUCUCAACUUGCCUACCUGGUUAAAUAAAGGUGAAAUAAAUAAAUAAGCUAUUUGUUAGGGGUGGUAAUAUUUAGAUGUACGUUUACAACCACUAGCAUAUUAGGAAUAGGCUUUAUGUCAUAGAAAAUACAGGCUUUUGGGGACUGUAAAUGAUCACAGAUGCUAUUUAAAACAAAGGCAGCCAAAUGUUCUCCAUCUUCUCUAUCUACAAAAUAAACUUUCACUCUCAGCUUCUGUCUUAUUUUGGACAUUAUUUUUAUUUAUUUGUUAUUUCCAUGAUUUUUAUUUCUACUUUGCACAUUCUUCCACUGCAAACCUACCAUUCCAGUGUUUUACUUGCUAUAUUGUAUUUACUUCGCCACCAUGGCCUUUUUUUUUUGCCUUUACCUCCCUUAUCUCACCUCAUUUGCUCACAUCGUAUAUAUACUUAUUUUUCUACAGUAUUAUUGACUGUAUGCUUGUUUUACUCCAUGUGUAACUCUGUUGUUGUAUGUGUCGAACUGCUUUGCUUUAUCUUGGCCAGGUCGCAAUUGUAAAUGAGAACUUGUUCUCAACUUGCCUAACUGGUUAAAUAAAGGUGAAAUAAAAAAUAACA